UUACUCUUUGAAAAGCAAUUUUUUUUUUCCGGGAAUGUCCGACUUUCUUAGCUGCAAUUUUCUCUUUAAUAAACUGGGUGGCUCUACUACAAAACUCCCCUUAUCAAAAUGUUCCCGCAGCACCGGUCACCGUGCUCCACGUAUGUCUCUUACCCCUUGGACUCAGAAGCCAGCCCAGGGCCACCAACAAAGCCGAUUUGUCGUCUGGAUAAACGGAUGAAGAAUGGGUGGUGAUUAAAACCAUGGGAGUGGAUGAGAUACCACAGAAAGAAAAGAGAUGAGAAGAGGACCUGGGAUUGAAUCUUGAGAGAAAAAGAAACCAACGUCUGAGGGACUGAUGAAAGAAGAGAAAUAGCCUUGGAAAACCGGAGUCCCAGAUCUUUCUCUUCACUUCCACACACGACUGCCAUCUGCUGGCCACAGAUGAGAAGUGUGCUUCAGUGCUUGCAUAGGUUUGCUUCCUUUUCCAAUGAGGUAAGAAUAUACGUUUGGCAA